rnacentral:rRNA from 1 species
GAAUUUGGCUUCAGGUCGGGGACAACACUUGGAAACGACUGCUAAUACCCCAUAUGCCGGAAGGGGAAAGGCUAGCUGCCUGAAGAUAAGCUCGCGUCUGAUUAGCUAGUUGGGGGGGUAAAGGACUACCCAGGCCACGAUCUCUAGCUGGGCUGAGAGGAUGAUCCCCCACACUGGGACUGAGACACGGGCCCCACUCCUCCGGGGGGGGGCAGUGGGGAAUUUUCCGCAAUGGGCGAAAGCCUGACGGAGCAAUACCCCGUGAGGGAGGAAGGCUCUUGGGUCGUAAACCCCUUUUUUCGAGGAAGAAGAAAGUGACGGUACUUGAGGAAUAAGCAUCGGCUAACUCCGUGCCAGCACCCGCGGUAAUACGGAGGAUGCAAGCGUUAUCCGGAAUGAUUGGGCGUAAAGGGUCCGCAGGUGGAACUGAAAGUCUGCUGUUAAAGAGUGGCGCUCAACUCGAUAAAGGCAGUGGAAACUACACAACUAGAGUUCGUUCGGGGCAGAAGGAAUUCCUGGUGUAGCGGUGAAAUGCGUAGAUAUCGGGAAGAACACCGGUGGCGAAAGCGUUCUGCURGGC